AUAGGAAAACGGUGGAGGCCGUGCUGGCUGCGGCCCGGGGAAGAAGGCUGCGUGAGACCAGCAGCGCAGGACCCUGACAGUCCUGACCUCAGUGCCUCCUUCAGCCCACUUCGUGUACGGGUCUGGGUGGAGGAGGAGGCGCUUCAGACCUUGAGGUGGGCACUCGGGACUGCUCUCUGAUUUGAUUCUAGAUUGGAGGGUGUGGGCAGGAAUCAGGUCCCAUGGGGCUGGGGAUCCAAUCUGGUGAGGAGUUGAGGGGUCGCUGGGGUAGGAAAACAUACCUGAGACCCCAGUGGAGGGUGUGAGCAGGACAUUCCCUCGCCCCAUGAGCUGACUGGCCCCCUUUCGACCUGGGCCUCCCAGGGCCCUGUCCUGGUCUCCAAGACCAGGGCCUUCGGCUUCUCAGCAUUGCUGUCCAGAAAAGGCGGGAACAAGGACAAAGUCAAGCCCGAUGUGAAGCAGAGGUGGCAACACCUAAAACUGGCAUCCCAUGGGGGCAGAAAAUGUGGAGAGAGUGUCUCAGAGGCCUUCUGGGGUGAAUCCAAGCCCAAAAGGGAUAUCCAGGCAUGCUGGCGAGGGCCACUGAGGAUACCCCCAAGAAAGCGAAGCACAAGCAAAGCACACCUGAAACCAUAGGAGGGCCUGUGCCGGAGUCCAAGCCUCCUCCAGGGAUUCCUGCCAGAGGAGCCAAGAGGAUCCUGCAAAGUGAUCCAGCACCCACACCGGGAUCACAACCCACCACCGGGUCUACACCCAGCUAACCCCCAGUCCCUUUUGCUCCGUGAAAUCCCUGGCAACGAAAAGGUGCAGUGCUGAGAGGCAGUCCCAGCCAGGAACAGAGCAAUGGGAGACCCCUCAACAAUGAGAAAACACCAGCAGAUGAGAUGAAACAUAGCCUUCAUUAGAAGGCAAAGGCCAGCUACGGCUGGCUACCUCUCAUUCUAUGUGAAUCAUGCAGCCAUCUGAUGCAAUGGGGAGACCAAGAGUUUCCUUAUUGGGGAAAGCUACGGGCACCCACGGUUCCAAGAGCAUCACAGCUACCCAGUCAUUAAGAAAUGUGAGUGUUGAGAAGGAAACACUCAUCACCUACGUCCCCGCCAAGGUGGUCCUGGACGAACUGGGAAACAUUUGCUGUGAAGGACGUUCUGGAGGACUGUGAGCCAGACCAAGGAAAACCUGGGCCGACGAGAAUCAGGGAAGGCAAGAAAAGAGGGAGAACAGAGUAGAGGCCGCAGCCCAGGCAGGAUCAAUCCAUCCCACUCCCAUGUGCCUCGGGGAACCAGGGUCCAACAGGGGACCUGGCCAGAAAGGCGACAGUCUUCGGUCCAAAGGUUCUCCGAACACUCGUGUCUUCUAUCGCCAGCACAGCGCCAUGGUGUGGACAGGUUGUACAGUGAAGAGGAAAAGGGGAUGGCGUUGGAAACAGUUUCUUUGACAUCUGUCUGCACCUGUUCUGCAGGUGAAGGUGCGAGACCUCCUCCACACCUCAGCGGAUUGUAUCUUCACCCCCAUCUGACCUUUUUUCUGCACACAUCCUUUAAUCCAGAAUGAAAUCUGAAGAGGAUGAAGGAGUGCCCGCCUCAGGUCCUGAAGCUGCGACUCCGCCAGCCACCGAAUUAGAAGUGGGCUCAAGGGGGUACUGAGGACAGGACAGCUAGGGUCCGUCCAGCCUUGGGUGUGCCGCAGGACCAUGGGCCCCUGGAGGAAUUUGUUCUUGGUUGUCGUGUGCUGGUCUUCUUUCUGGAAGAGUGGGCGGCUUGGGAGGGGAGGUGAUUUGGACGUUUGCGGGUCGCAGCCAGCCCCCCACUUCACCGAGGCUUUAGGAACCAAGAGCGAAACAAAGAACGCUUGCCCCGCAACCCAAGCCCGGCCAAAGAGACGGGCGCAUCAGAGCGUAGGCGAACUACAGAGAAACCGCGCUUCACUGCACGAGCCACAUUUCUUUCACCGCACACCACACACACACUCACACGCACACACAGAAAGACACACGGAAACAUCCAACAGUCGCACAGAAACACACACAGCCAGGCAGCUCCUGAGGCUGCGCGGUUCUGCUCUCUGCCAGGAAACCCCUCCGGAAAGAGAGCGCCCCGGGGAACACAGGCAGGCCGUACCUCGAAAUCCCAGCGGGGACACCUGUCAGGGAGACGCACCCUCACACCGCCCAUGCAUGCCCGACGCAUCUUUGGGAUCCUUAGGGAUCACGUGGUGCUUCCUUGAAUCUCCGCUUGAGGUUUCUUCAGGCAGGUUCGGCCUUGCCCGACUCCUAGGAUCGCAGGACCAUGGCGACGAUCCCGCGGAGAGGGGACGCACUGCCACAGACGCCUGGGGGCCAAGCCGCUGGGGCCAGUCCCCCGGCAACGGUGGCGGUUACUGUGACGCGAGUCCCCCCUCAGCGCUAGCGCCUGGUGAUCGCGCCUGGUACGUGCACUUUCGCGUUCCCGGUUUGUGGGCCGCAUUGUCAGGGCUCUCAGGCUGCAGCCCAAUAGGAAAACAGUGGAGGCCGUGCAGGCGGCGGUUCGGGGAAGGAGACUGCAUGCGACAAGCAGCGCAGGACCCUGACUGUCGUGACCUCAGUGCCUCCUUGAGCCGACCUCGUGUUUGGGUCCGGGUGUAGGAGGAGGUGCUUCAGACCGUGAGGUGGGCACUCGGGAUUGCUCUUCUGAUUUGAUUCUGGACUGGAAUCAAAUUGGAAUUGACCCGGAAUUGGGUCCCACGGGGCUGGGGAACCAAUCUGGUGAGGUGUGGAGGGGUCGCUGGUGCACAGAAACAUACCGGAUACCCUCGGGGUGGGUGUCAGCAGAACAUUCCUCGGCUCCAUGAGCUGACUGCCUCCCUUUGAUCUGGGCCUCCCAGGGCUCUUCCUGCGUCUCCAAGCUCAGGGGCUCCUGCUUCUCAGCACUGCUGUCUGGAAAAGGCGGGAACGAGGACUAAGGCAAGCCCAGUGUGGGGCAGAGAUGGCAACACCUGGAACUAGCUUUUCAUGGGGGCAGAUAAUGUGGAGAGUGUCCCAAUUACAUCUCCCUUUAUUCUAUCCCAUACUACUAAACCCCACCAGCUAUUUGCCUACAAACUGUGUAUCAGUCAGGACAUCAGGACACCAAGAUAAAGGACUAGAGUUUGGUAAUCAACUACUGGCUCCUCCAGCAGCUCAGAAUGUGGCCUGUAUGCAUCACUUCACUUAAUUCAUUCAAGAAAUGCUGACUGAGUUCCUGCUGUGUGUUGGACACUUUCUUAGAAGUGGGACACACUGCAGUGUGUGGGACAAAGGCUGGGCCGCUCAUUGCUUAUGUUCUAGUUGAAGAGAGAGUCAAUCAACAACAUUCUACUUUCAGACAUUGAUAAAUGCUGUCAUGAAAAGACAAGGAACAUGAAAAGGUAAGAAAAGGGAUGGAGAGAGAUGGGAUGAGGGGUGCCUGGGCAGACAAUGCAAUGAUCUGGCAAAAGAGUAGGACAAUCAUGAGACUGCAUGUGUUCCAGUUUCUGCUGCUGUAAAACAGCAUCCACAGGUUACAUCUUUACUAUUCUGUUACAUACAUACUAUUAUUUAAAUAAAAAAUAGUACUAGUUAACUGUGAAAAUUGCAAUUAAUAGGGCAGAUUAAACAAAUCCUUUAAAUUUAAACAAAUGUUUUAUGGUUUUUUAUCCUCUGAUACAUUGUUUCAACUUUAAAAAACCCUCUUUAUUUGAUAUUUAAACUCUAUAUUAAUGUAUAUUCUUAAGAUACAUAAAUUUAAGAUUUUUUUCGAGACAGGGUCUCAUUCUGUCACACAGUCUGGAGUGCUGUGGUGCAAUUAUGGUUCACUGCAGACUCCACCUCUCCAGGCUCAGAUAAUCCUCCUGCCUCAGACUCCUGAGUAUCUGGGACCACAGGUGUGCAUCACCACACCCAGCUAAUUUCUUGUAUUUUUUUGUUGGGAUGGGGUUUUGCGAUGUUGCCCAGGCUGGUCUCAAACUCCUGGGCUCAAGUGAUCUGCCUGCCUUGGUGUCUCAAAGUGUUGGGAUCACAGGCGUGAGCCACCACAUCCAGCCUAAUUUAAGAUUUUUAAAAAGCAGAAUGUAAAUAUGGUCAUGCAUUGUGUAAUUCUGUGGAUACUUUCUGAGUAAUGCAUGGUUAGGUGACUUCAUCAUUAUGUGAACAUUAUAGAGUGUACAUACACAAACCUAGAUGAUGUAGCCUGAUGGUACAGCCUAUCACUUCGAGGCUACAAAUCCAAAUUGCCUGGAUACUGUAAACAAUUAUACUCAAUGGUAUUUGUGUAUCUAAACAUGUCUAAACAUAGAAAGGGUACAGUAAAAAUAUGGUAUAAAAGAUAAGAAAUCGUAUACCGGUAUACAGCACUUACCGUGGAUGGAGCUUGCAAGACUGGAAGUUACUCCGGGUGAGUCAGUGACUGAGCGGUGAGUGAAUGUGAAGGCUAGGGCAGUACUGUAUACUACUGUAGACUUUAUAUGUACUGUAUGCUUAGGCUACACUAAAUUUAUUUGAAUUUUUUUGUCGGUAAUAAAUUAACCUUAGCUUACUAUAAUUUCUUUAUAAACCUUUUAAUUUUUAAAAAUGUUUUGACUCUCUUGUAAUAAAUUAGCUUCAAACACAUUGUAUAGCUGUACACAAAUAUUUUCUUUAUAUCCUUAUUCUAUAAUCUUCUACUUAAAAAUUUUUUUAAUUUUUUUAUUUUAAUUUAAUUUUAUUUUAUUUUGAGACAGAGUCUCACUCUCUCGCCCAGGCUGGAGUGCAGUGGCGUGAUCUUAACUCACUGCAACCUCCGCUUCCCAGGUAAUAUUAUUUAAAUAAAAAUAGUACUAGUUAACUGUGAAAAUUGCAAUUAAUAGGGCAGAUCAAGCAAUUCUCUUGCCUCAGCCUCCAGACUUUUUUGUUAAAAACUAAGACACAAACACAUUAGCCUAGGUACACACAGUGCCAGGAUCAUCAAAAUGUCAUUAGGCAGUAUAAACUUUUCAGCUCCAUAAAAGUUGGAAAAAAAAUAAUAAUAAUAAAUACAAUUUUAUAAAAAGAAAAUUUUCAGCUCUGCUAUAAUCUUAUGGGACCACUACUGUAUAUGUGGUCCCUCAUUGACCAAAACAUCAUUAUGUGGCACAUGAUUAUAACAAAUGAUGGAUGGCGAGGUUGUGAAGAAACUGGAACCCUUGUGCAUUACUGGUUGUAAUAUAAAAAGGUACAGCCACUGUAAAAAAAAAACACAGUUUGGUUAUUUCUUCAUAAGUUAAUCAUAGAAUUACCAUAUAAUCCAGCAAUUUCACUUCUAGGUAUAUGCCCAAAAUAAUUGAAUAAGGUGUUUAAACAUAAACUUGUACAAGAAUGUUCAUAGCAGUACAUUUCACAAUACUCAGAUAAUCCUCUCAUUGGAAGCAACUCAAAUGUCCACCAACUGAUGGUAUUACCCAUGCAAUGGAAUAUUAUUCAGUCAUAAAAAGGAAUGAAGUACUGAGGCAUGUUACAACAUGAAGGAACUUUGAGGACAGUUUGUUAAUACGCUAUAUACUGUGUAAUUCUAUUUAUAUGAAAUAUCCAGAAUAGGUAAAUCAUUAGAGACUAGAGACAGCAGAUUAGUGGAUGCCAGGAGUUUGGGGAAGGAAGGGGUGGGAAGAAUGGGAAGUGACUGCUUAAUGGAUACAGGGUUUCUUUUUGGGGUGAUGAAAAAUUUCUGGAACUAGAUUGUAGUGAUGGUUGCACAACACCGUAAGUGUAAUAAUGUCACUGAAUUAUACACUUUAAAGUGAUUUAAAUGGUAAAUUGUAUUAUUUAUGUAUUUUACCACAAUAAAGAAGUCACCUAUCACCAACCCUUUAGAUCCCUUAUUGACUCCUUAGACUCCCCACAUCCCAUAUCCCAGAGACUACCACUCUCCCAAAUUCCAAGACCUCGGAUACCUGACCCACUGGGACACCCAUACCAAUUAUAGCCUUCUCUGGACUCCUGAAUCAUUGAAAACCAAGUAUCUGCAUGCAAUCAUUCCUUGGACCUCUUUAUCACUACAUCCCAGAACUGAUUCUCCUCCCCCAAUUCCUAAACCCCAUUCCUGCCACCCACUUCCCAUUUUCAGUCAAUUGCAUCCAAUUCCUAAGCCCCAUCUCUCCGCAAGACCACACAUUGCCAUGGUUUCCUCAAAGGACAUCUCUCCUUCUGUGGCGGCAGGGCCACUGCAACAACCCUCUCCACCUCGCCCCAAGGCUGCCACACACACUCAGGUGUGGCUUUCCGCUGUGUAGCUAAAUGCCCAGGGCGCCCCAUUAUAGUGUGAGAUGCUGAGUAAUUAAUUGCGUCUAUGCGGUGAAACCAGGUAGCUGCACCCAUUUAGCUGUUUCUCCCUGGGGACGACCAUUUUCAAAGAUGUGUCCUACAAUACCCCCAGCCUAUCUUUUUCUGACCCCAAGGUUUUGGUUGUUCUAGGUAGGGAUACACAGUUGACAAUGACCUGCUACCAUCCUUUCUGUUGGAACCCCACUCUGAGGCUGUCACUUCUGCAGGAAACCACUGCCCGCAUCUCCUCUCCAUCAAUAUAGUGCUAGUCAUAAGAAAAACAGUAGGCCGGGCGUGGGGGCUCACGCCUCUAAUUCCAGCACUUUGGGAGGCCGAGGUGGGUGAAUUGCUUGAGGUCAGGAGUUCAAGACCAGCCUGACCAACAUGGUGAAACCCCGUCUCUACUAAAAAUACAAAAAUUAGCCAGGCGUGGUGGCUCACGCCUGUAAUCCCAGCAUGUUGGGAGGCCGAGGCAGGAGAAUC
rnacentral:lncRNA from 1 species